rnacentral:rRNA from 1 species
GAUGAACGCUGGCGGCGUGCCUAAUACAUGCAAGUCGAGCGAAUGGAUUAAGAGCUUGCUCUUAUGAAGUUAGCGGCGGACGGGUGAGUAACACGUGGGUAACCUGCCCAUAAGACUGGGAUAACUCCGGGAAACCGGGGCUAAUACCGGAUAACAUUUUGAACCGCAUGGUUCGAAAUUGAAAGGCGGCUUCGGCUGUCACUUAUGGAUGGACCCGCGUCGCAUUAGCUAGUUGGUGAGGUAACGGCUCACCAAGGCAAUGAUGCGUAGCCGACCUGAGAGGGUGAUCGGCCACACUGGGACUGAGACACGGCCCAGGCUCCUACGGGAGGCAGCAGUAGGGAAUCUUCCGCAAUGGACGAAAGUCUGACGGAGCAACGCCGCGUGAGUGAUGAAGGCUUUCGGGUCGUAAAACUCUGUUGUUAGGGAAGAACAAGUGCUAGCUGAAUAAGCUGGCACCUUGACGGUACCUAACCAGAAAGCCACGGCUAACUACGUGCCAGCCGCCGCAGUAA